UGAUUCUUUGAAUAAAAGAGACAGAUUAGUCAAUAUGACCCUAGUUUGUCUGCCCCACUGAUUGCAAGAAUGGUGGUUGACAAUUGGAGCAGGGAAGUUGUGAUACCAGUUCCUUCACCUUCAAUUACAGAUGCAUUCACCAAAGUGUGAGAAAGAAAAACAAGUUUAGAAGAUAAAUGAAGGAUAAUGUAAUGUUUAGUUAUGUUUGAUUGCUUGGCAAUGCUUAAGUCAUAACAAAUCAGAGAUUUUUUUUUUUUUUUAGUAUCUAAUCAGAGUUUUGAAAGCAUCUGAUUAUAAACAAUGCAUACAGAUUGAAAAGUCAAUGCAUUUGUCAACUUUUAUAUUUCCAUUAACUUUGGUCUUUUAAUCUUCUAGUUAAAUGUUGAUUGAUUGACUGUGGCAUCACUAAGUGGUAUGAAUAUGCUUGCAUGUGUCAUACAAAUGUCACAUGCAUGCAUUUAGAUCAUUUAACUUAUUAAAGAGGCAAAAUUGUUUAAGAAGUCUCUAUGUAUGUGUAUGUGAAAACUCUAGCAAAGAUUAACAUCUAUUUUUUUAAGGGUCUAAAAUUUUAUGUUAUACAGUGAUAUCCAUUUUCUUGUAGAUUUAAUAUUUUCUCCUUAGUUCACAUAGUAGGAAAAAUGUAUAUUUUAUAGCAAUAUAGGGAACAUCUCUCUAUAGCUAUUCAUCAAGUACAGUGNNNNNNNNNNNNNNNNNNNNNNNNNNNNNNNAAGUUUGCCCUCUGAAGGUUGCUCACUUCCAUAUUUAAAAUUCUUUUAAACAAGGGUACAGAAAGAUUUGGUGCCAAACCAAGUAUAUCAAUAAUAGCUCUAGACCUAGGCAGGACACACAUUUCAAAGAUUCUCUUAAAAAUGGCUCACAAAAGUGCUUUAUAUCUUUUAAAGUACUUAUAUACAUAAUUAUUUUACUAGGAAUGAUGAAAGUAAUAAGUUUUCCAUUUUGGCCCAAGUGAGGACAUUUCUAAAAUUUUCUUCAAUGUUCACCAAAUAAAUACUAUUAUACAGAAUAUUUUAGAUAAGAUUUCUGAGGGAAUAUGAGGGAUAGUGUAAAUUUUACUGAGGAGAAUAUUUCCUGACAUCUCUCACAUAGUCAUAUUUCAAACUCAGAUUAAUAAGCCUAAGCUUGAUUUUUCAUUUUCUUCCAAAUGAUUAGCUUUAAGAUUGAAGAAGACAACAAAUCUGAAUGUAAAUUUUACACCAGUCUUAUGAAAAAGAGG
rnacentral:lncRNA from 1 species